AGCUCUCGUCCACAACGCUCUAUUUUUGGAGUGUGUCGCAAGCGAAGUUGAUCGCCACACCCCUUUGAGGAAGCGCAUAGCCGUGAUCCGCCGCGGGAAUCAAAAGUCGCAGUCACUGAAUCGAUUGUAACAGCUACACUGGCUGACUCGUCCUCGUAGUGGAGUUCAACCAUACGUUUGAUCCAAAAUCUGACUCUGAAUUCGAAUGGGAGGCUGUUUAAGUGGUUACACUUCGGCUGGCGCAAGUCGUUGCAGGUAUCUAGCCUGUCUUGUUAGCUGGUGCUGGCGACUUCUAGGGUGAAGAGUCCAAGUCGUCAUUCCAUCUUCCCUGGUCUGGAUCAGGGCAGUUUCCUGAGGGACAAGGCACCUAUGUUGGACCACCUGUGAAAUACCUAAAUUAUUGUUUUUGUGGCAAUAACUCAAUAAAGUUGAAAUAUUAUAAAA